CAGGACAGGUACAGCACAGGCAGUGACAGUGCGACCUUUCCCCACACCACCCCGUCCAUGUGCCUCAACCCUGACCUGGAGGGACCACCUCUAGA
rnacentral:sRNA from 1 species